rnacentral:rRNA from 1 species
CGGGAGUAAUGCUUGGGAAGUCUGGCUUAUGGAGGGGGAUAACUACGGGAAACUGUAGCUAAUACCGCGUAAUAUCGAAAGAUUAAAGUGUGGGACCUUCGGGCCACAUGCCAUAGGAUGAGCCCAAGUGGGAUUAGGUAGUUGGUGAGGUAAAGGCUCACCAAGCCGACGAUCUCUAGCUGGUCUGAGAGGAUGACCAGCCACACUGGGACUGAGACACGGCCCAG